GCUCAGGUAGUGUAGUCCGGUCAAGCACACGACCCUCUCACGGUUGUAACCCGGGUUCAAAUCCCGGCCCGAGCA
rnacentral:tRNA from 1 species